rnacentral:lncRNA from 1 species
GAGAAGUAGUCGUUAUUUGGAAGGUGUAGAAAGUCAUGUCUGAGGUAGAGUAACCAGAGCUAGAAUUAGAUACUAACUAAACUUAACGACCACGUGUCAGGGAGUCACACGUACACUGAUGCUCUGCUGUAGGAAUCCGCCAGCUUCAAUUUGACUCAUUCUGAAUGCUGAAGAAGCAGCUUUCAGUUUAAAAUCUGAAGGGCCCUCUCGAGUGGGACUUGGCUGUGGGGAGUUCCUUGGUCUGCUUGUCCUGUGAGCCUGCCUUGUUGCCCCUACCCCCACUGUACAGCUUGCUCAUUUUCCCCUGGGCUCUUUUCUCAGGCAUGUGGGCAGCAGCUGGGCCUUCCACAUCCUGGCACAAGUAGAGCUAGGAGUGCCUGAAGGCUAAGUUGGUGCCAGUCACGAGCUAUGAAUUCUCACUAGAGUUCCCCUUCCCUCCGUCUGGUUGGAUUGCUUACUCUAGUACUAAACUGAGCCUCUGCCCAUCUCAGCUCACAAUGUUGCUGCCAUAAGCAGCAGACUUCGGGGAACUGGAGGUUUAGGACAGCGUGCUGAAGUCUUUCCCGCAUUUCCCUUUUGUUGACGGGUGAAGGCUCAGCAUUUAGAGAUGUCUAAGUCAAGAACCCUGAACAGACUUUUGGAAGUAAUUCCCAUACCUUCAUUAGGUACUUCAUCCAUGAUAACCCAGUCCUUCCAAGACAGCCUGUUACUCCUUGCUUUCCUCGUGCAAAUGUAGAGGCAGAUCUGUUGCUUGUGUGUGUUGCUAAUGCUAAUAAGCUAUAUACUUAACAGGUAGGAGACUGAGGGUGUCAAAGGAUACACAGUGAAAAGCUCCUCUUCCACCCCACAGUGGACCGUAGACUCUGGCACGAUCUUUGCUGUUACUGUGGGACAUAGCCUCAGUUGAAGUGGUGGGGGAAAGAUCUGACAUGAGUGAUUAUAGAGAACAAGUUUGUCUAGAAACUGUAUAGCCAAAGAUAAAACUAUAAAAGCACUGUGUUGUUCCCAUAAACGUGUUUCUCAAGGAGGCUAACAAUUCUGAAGAUAAUUUAUGGGACUGGAAAGGUAACUCAGUUGUUAAUACCUUGGGCUUACAAGCAUUAAGACCUGAGUUCAGACCCCCAGACCCCACAUUAAAAGGCAGGGCAUGGUGGCACAUGCUUGUACUUUAGUGACGGAGUGACCAAAGGUAGAGACAGGUUCAUUCCUAGAGCUGGCCAGCCUACAACAGGAAGUUCCAGGUCACUGAAAAGCCCUGUGUCAAAGACAAAAGAUGCCUGAGAGACCACAGCUGAGAUUGGCCCCCGACUAUACAUGCAUUCACACAUCUUCACACAUAUACCACACACAAAUAUGAGCACACAUACACACGUGUAUAUAUAAAAAACCCUCAUAACCAAGGAGUAAUUGUAAAUAAAUAAAAGAACUAGUUUCCCACUGUCAGAGAUAUUACAAAUUGAAGGCUACAGAGAUUAGACUUAAAGAAUUUUCCUUGUUAUUCUUUCUUUUCUCUCUCAUUUCUCCCCCUUCGGCUUUUUUGAGACAAGGUUUCUCAGUGUAGUCCUAACUGUCCUGUCCUGGAACUCACUCUGUAGAACAGGCUGGCUUCCAACUUAGAGAUGUGCCUGCCCAUCCCAAGUGCUGGGAUUAAAGGUAUGUUGGCACUACACCCUGGCAGACUUUUUAAAAAAAAAAAAAAUCAUGUAUAUCUGUGAACUAUUUUCAUGCCUGGUGUCCAAAGAGGUUAUAAGAGGUUAUCAGAUCCCACAGAACUGCAUUUGGAGCCACAAACCAACAUGUGAUCCAACCUGGAACCUCUAGAAGAGCAGUCAAUGCUCUUAACCAGUGAGCCAUCCAUCUCUCCAGCCCCUGAGACUUAGAGACUUUUAUCAUUUUAUAUUUAGUUUGACAUAUACAGAUAAAGAAAUAGUGGCAGAUGUUUAUGUAAUGUGGAUGGAUUGUUAUACAUACAUAUAAUGUACAUAUAUAGAUAUGUGUAUGUGUAUAUAUAUAUAUGUAUAUGUAUAUAUGUAUGUGUGUGUAUACACACACAUAUAUAUAUUUCUCAGCUCUUUCAACUGAGAGAAUCUAGAAGCAGUUUCAUUCUAAUGACACACCCAGAUCAUGGUUGGUUGGUUGGUUUAAUUUUGAGAUAGUGUCUUACUAUAUAGCUCUGACUAUCUUCGAGCUUCCUAUGGAGAGCAGCUGGCUUCCAGUUCUCAGAGAAAAGCUCAGUAGGGGUUGGGAAUAGGAGUACUUUGCUUUAAUUCCAGCACCCAGGAGACAGCCAGAUGAUCUAUGUGAGUUUGAGACCAACUUGAUCUACAUAGUGAGUUCCUGGACAGCC